GACGAACGCUGGCGGCGUGCUUAACACAUGCAAGUCGAACGGAAAGGCCCUGCUUUUGUGGGGUGCUCGAGUGGCGAACGGGUGAGUAACACGUGAGUAACCUGCCCUUGACUUUGGGAUAACUUCAGGAAACUGGGGCUAAUACCGGAUAGGAGCUCCUGCUGCAUGGUGGGGGUUGGAAAGUUUCGGCGGUUGGGGAUGGACUCGCGGCUUAUCAGCUUGUUGGUGGGGUAGUGGCUUACCAAGGCUUUGACGGGUAGCCGGCCUGAGAGGGUGACCGGCCACAUUGGGACUGAGAUACAGCCCAGACUCCUACGGGAGGCAGCAGUGGGGAAUAUUGCACAAUGGGCGGAAGCCUGAUGAAGCAACGCCGCGUGCGGGAUGACGGCCUUCGGGUUGUAAACCGCUUUCGCCUGUGACGAAGCGUGAGUGACGGUAAUGGGUAAAGAAGCACCGGCUAACUACGUG
rnacentral:rRNA from 1 species